rnacentral:rRNA from 1 species
CUUGCUGGGGGGAUUAGUGGCGAACGGGUGAGUAACACGUGAGUAACCUGCCCUUGACUCCGGGAUAAGCCUGAGAAAUUGGGUCUAAUACUGGAUACGACCUUCCCGCGCAUGCGGUGUUGGUGGAAAGCUUUUGUGGUUUUGGAUGGACUCGCGGCCUAUCAGCUUGUUGGUGGGGUAAUGGCUUACCAAGGCGACGACGGGUAGCCGGCCUGAGAGGGUGACCGGCCACACUGGGACUGAGACACGGCCCAGACUCCUACGGGAGGCAGCAGUGGGGAAUAUUGCACAAUGGGCGAAAGCCUGAUGCAGCGACGCCGCGUGAGGGAUGAAGGCCUUCGGGUUGUAAACCUCUUUCAGUAGGGAAGAAGCCGGCCCUUGGGUUGGUGACGGUACCUGCAGAAGAAGCGCCGGCUAACUACGUGCCAGCAGCCGCGGUAAUACGUAGGGCGCAAGCGUUAUCCGGAAUUAUUGGGCGUAAAGAGCUCGUAGGCGGUUUGUCGCGUCUGUC